AGAGUUUGAUCCUGGCUCAGGAUGAACGCUGGCGGCGUGCCUAACACAUGCAAGUCGAGCGAAGCACUUUACUUUGAUUCUUCGGAUGAAGAGUUUAGUGACUGAGCGGCGGACGGGUGAGUAACGCGUGGGUAACCUGCCUCACACAGGGGGAUAACAGUUAGAAAUGACUGCUAAUACCGCAUAAGACCACAGCACCGCAUGGUGCAGGGGUAAAAACUCCGCGG
rnacentral:rRNA from 1 species